AGUGAACGCUGGCGGUAGGCCUAACACAUGCAAGUCGAACGGCAGCACAGUAAGAGCUUGCUCUUACGGGUGGCGAGUGGCGGACGGGGGAGGAAUACAUCGGAAUCUACUUUUUCGUGGGGGAUAACGUAGGGAAACUUACGCUAAUACCGCAUACGACCUACGGGUGAAAGCAGGGGAUCUUCGGACCUUGCGCGAGUGAAUGAGCCGAUGUCGGAUUAGCUAGUUGGCGGGGUAAAGGCCCACCAAGGCGACGAUCCGUAGCUGGUCUGAGAGGAUGAUCAGCCACACUGGAACUGAGACACGGUCCAGACUCCUACGGGAGGCAGCAGUGGGGAAUAUUGGACGAUGGGCGCAAGCCUGAUCCAGCCAUACCGCGUGGGUGAAGAAGGCCUUCGGGUGGUAAAGCCAUUUUGUUGGGAGAGAAGAGCAGCAGGUUAAUACCCCGCUGUUCCGACGGUACCCAAAGAAUAAGCACCGGCUAACUUCGUG
rnacentral:rRNA from 1 species